CAGUAGCCGCGGUAAUACGAAGGGUGCAAGCGUUACUCGGAAUUACUGGGCGUAAAGCGUGCGAAGGUGGUGGUUUAAGUCCGUUGUGAAAGCCCUGGGCUCAACCUGGGAAUUGCAGUGGAUACUGGGUCACUAGAGUGUGGUAGAGGAUAGUGGAAUUUCCGGUGUAGCAGUGAAAUGCGUAGAGAUCGGAAGGAACAUCUGUGGCGAAGGCGACUAUCUGGGCCAACACUGACACUGAGGCACGAAAGCGUGGGGAGCAAACAGGAUUAGAUACCCCAGUAGUCCCUGUCUCUUAUAC
rnacentral:rRNA from 1 species